rnacentral:tRNA from 1 species
GCUCAGGUGGCCGAGUGGUCUAAGGCGCAGGAUUUAGGCUCCUGUCACGUCAAGUGGCGCGGGUUCAAACCCCGUCCUGGGCA